rnacentral:rRNA from 1 species
UACGUAGGGGCAAGCGUUGUCCGGAAUCAUUGGGCGUAAAGCGCGUGUAGGCGGCCCGAUAAGUCCGCUGUGAAAGUCCAGGGCUCAACCCUGGGAUGCCGGUGGAUACUGUCGGGCUCGAGUCCGGAAGAGGCGAGUGGAAUUCCUGGUGUAGCGGUGAAAUGCGCAGAUAUCAGGAGGAACACCAAUGGCGAAGGCAGCUCGCUGGGGACGUGACUGACGCUGAGACGCGAAAAGCGUGGGGGAGCAAACAGG